UAAGGGUGAAGUUCAAGGCUUUCAGACUC
rnacentral:piRNA from 1 species